UGCCCCAUGGCUGAGUUGGUUACAGCGUCCGACUGUUAUUACAACGCAAUCGGAAGGUCGUGAGUUCGAGCCUCACUGGGGCAG
rfam:Trametes cinnabarina, BRFM137, WGS project CCBP01000000 data, contig: scf185001